rnacentral:misc_RNA from 1 species
CCAAUGUCUUCGGGGGGACUCCGGUCCCUGUCUGAACCCUUGUCUUUUGCGCACUAUUUGUUUCCUUGGUGGGCUUUUGCCUGCCAAAAGGACACUAUAUAACCCUUUGUAAUUGCAAUCAGCGUCAGAAAAACAUAAUAGUUA